UACGUAGGGUGCGAGCGUUAAUCGGAAUUACUGGGCGUAAAGCGUGCGCAGGCGGUUUUGUAAGCCAGAUGUGAAAUCCCCGGGCUUAACCUGGGAAUGGCAUUUGGGACUGCAAGGCUGGAGUGCGCAGAGGAGACGUGGAAUUCCUGGUGUAGCAGUGAAAUGCGUAGAUAAUCUGGAGGAACACCGGUGGCGAAGGCGGCGAUUCUGGACCAUAACUGACACUGAGAGACGAAAGCCAGGGAGCAAACGGG
rnacentral:rRNA from 1 species